UUCAUCCUCCUCAUUUUGGCCUGUAUUUAUUAAGAUUUCAACAAAGUAGCUCCAUAAAAACCAUGCCGAAUAGUCUAUAAGCAGCUCUUGUUUGCGGUGUACAGAUAAAAACACGGUCAGAUAUCACCGGAUAACUUUUAUACCGAAGAAAACUUUAAAACGUGAUAAUUCUCAGUCAAGUCUGGAGUUGUGACGAGCGUCUUUUUUCCUUUGACUUCUAAGCGAAUUUACGGACGUUUCCUCGUGAUGGGCAUCGGAGAAAAUUGCAUUCUCGUUUCCUUCUGAUGUCUGAACUGGAGACUUCAGAUCCCCCAGAGCUCUCCGGCUCGUUCGACAGCCUCAAGACGACAAAAGCAGCUGCUCCUCUUAUCCAUCCAUCCCAUCA